CGUGGUUGUUUUUGUUUAGCGCGAUUCGCUUGUCAAAACGCGUGACGUCAUUGUUUAUUAAAAGGACGGCAGCUAAAACUCGCCUGUUGUUGAAGUCGUGACGUACUGAAAAACCUGUUUGUUGAUUGGCUAGGAGAAUACCAGCCGUUUAUUUUUUAGGGGGAUUGUCUUAGUUACGUGUAGUAUAGUCUUUUUUCAAUCUAAGUGGGCUUGUUCGCUGAACUUCUUGACUUAGAGACUACCACGAAAAGUUCAAUGUGAGCGGCCAUGCGACGCGAAAUGUGACUGUUCCUGUUGUAAAAAACGACGUGAAGUUUGUAUCAUUUAAAAAAAGCCUGAGCAUUUUUUGUUGCUGUCUUCUAGCAAGUCUGUCAUCCAAUGACUUUUCCAAGUGGAUGUGUGAAUGACUGGGGCAACUUCUGCCUGAACCUCUGGUGUUGUGCCGACGUGAUGACGCCGCAUAAUCGCCAUCAACCGUUGAAUUGGAUCCUUCAUGCCAUGAACCACACGGCCUGUGCGGUUGAACUCUGUGUGAAUAAGUUCCCCGCCUUGUCCUAAAUCCAACUUUAAACUUAGUAAGCUGCUGUACUGCAUGAUCUUCGAGGAGAUGCAUCUUCGGUGAUGUGUUGACAUUAGGGAAUAGGUCACGGAACGCUGACAUAAACUCCUUAAUACAUACAUCUGUAAGAGAACACAAAUGCAACCAUCAAUGAUUUAGAUACAGCAAAUGAUUAUUUCAUCAUACGUGAAGUUAUGUACUGACAUGAAACAUGUGCAGCCAGGUAUACUGGUGUGUAGUUACCUAUAUGGUGAAUGUUAUGUGACGACAAAGGCUUUGCAUGGUUGAUGCCAUGGUGAACAUCAGCAAAUUUUAGAAAAAUUUCAUGGUAUUUCCUUCCAAUAUUUGCUGAAUCUCGCACUAGAUGUCUUGAGCAGCGAUGGUGAUGUCGUCUGUGAGGUUAUGAACAUCUGUGAGGUGAUGAACUGCUUAGGAACUGCAGUCAGAGGAUCAAUCACUUCAACCUGAAACAAAGAUAAAUACUGCAGAGAUUAACGUCAAGUCAAGAAAGUACUAUUGGAAUUGUGUUUUUUUUUCUUGUUG